GAUGCAAAUGAGUCAGCACAAUUUCAGUUUGGUUGCCUUCGAUGUCAAUCUCUUUUGUAAUGAAUGGAGUGUUAUUAAAUACUGGAUCUAGUGUUGAAAGAGGCUGAUAUCUUACCUGGGGAAAAAGAAAGAACGCAUUGGAACCUUUGAAGCCUGGAGCACAAGAGCAACCGUAUGGAUCUGGCUUACAGAAAAGAUGCAAGGCACACAAUUCAUCGGUGUUGCUGUUAUUUUGUGGAGGAGAACAGAAUUUAUUACAAUCGGCUCCAAAGUGGUUGCCACCGCAAGCUAUGGAAUAAACCAAUAAAAGUGUAAAUGAAUAAUAAAUGUGAUUAAAAGUGUUUUUAAAAUA